rnacentral:rRNA from 1 species
UACGGAGGAUGCGAGCAUUAUCCGGAUUUAUUGGGUUUAAAGGGUGCGUAGGCGGACUGUCAAGUCAGCGGUAAAAUUGAGAGGCUCAACCUCUUCCCGCCGUUGAAACUGGUGGUCUUGAGUGGAUGAGAAGUACGCGGAAUGCGUGGUGUAGCGGUGAAAUGCAUAGAUAUCACGCAGAACUCCGAUUGCGAAGGCAGCGUACCGGCAUCCAACUGACGCUGAGGCACGAAAGCGUGGGGAUCAAACAGG